rnacentral:lncRNA from 1 species
UUUGUCUGGCUGGAAAUAGUGGACAAUUAGAAGACUUAACUUGACAAUUUGCAACACCGGUUGGAAUACCAAACAACAUGAAUUCUUUCUACAGGUCCACGUUUGCCUAAUAUUUUUUUCAUUCACUUUACUCAAGCUCGAUUUAUAAAAUUAAAAAAAAAAACUCAAUUAUCUUAAAUUAAAAGAAAACAUACCAAUUGAAUCAAGACAAAUUAAAACCCAUUAGAUACAGAUUAUUUUGUUAUUUCUAUCACAAUUGACAUUUUUAUUAUAAAAUUUAUCAAAUAAAAAAACAAAAGUAAAAAAAAAAUUAAAAGAAACAAAAAUAUCAAAAGCUUUAAAAAAACAAAGAAAUGAAAAAAAAAAAAAAAAAAAGGAGGUUUCACAUGAAUACCUGAGAAGGGGUGGGAUACCAUUAAUCCGUUUUUAAUUUGACUCCAUUUUCAAAAAUAAAAUCUUAACCCAAUCUCUAUUUUUUAAAAAUACACCUAUAUUGGACUAGUGCAAAUAAAAAUCAAUAUGAUACAGAUUGUUUUAGCAUCCAUACUAUUAAUUUUUUUACAAAGUUCAUCUAAUAAACAAAAUUAAAUUAAAAAACUAAAUAAAAAGGUAAAAAGUAAAAAAAAAUAGUAAAAACUAAAAAAUUAAAAUGUAAUUCUAUAUUAAUAGAUAGAUUAUUAUUAUAAGUAUUAUAUAUCGUUGGAAAGCUUAUUGAAUUUACUUUCUAACAAAAUAAACAGAAGUUGAAUUUUGAAUUUUCUAUGAAGAAUUUUUAAUUUUUACUUAAGAAUGUGCCAACUGCAUAGCAAUAGCAUCAAUGAUGAAUUUCAAAAUUUGUGUUAAAUUUUAUACAAGGAAUUACGAAUUAAGCUUUACAUUUUUUAAAAAGGUUAUUAAGUCUAUUUUCCAAUGAAACAAGCAAAACUGAAUUUGGAGUCUCUUGUGAAUAACUAUGUAAUUUUUAUUAAAAGUUUACAUACUAUCUGGUAGAUUAUUACUAUAAGUAUUAUAUAUCAUUGGAAAACUUGUUGAAUUUACUUUCUAACAAAACAAAUAGAAGUCGAUUUUGAAUUUUCUAUGAAGAGCUGUCUAAUUUUUACUUAAUGAUGUGCAGACUACAUGGCAACAACAUUAGUGAUGAAUUUAAAAAAUUGUCUUAAAUUUAUACAAGGAAUUACAAAUUGAGCUUUACAUUUUUUGAAAAGGUUAUUAGGUCUACUUUCUAAUGAAAUAAGUGAAAUUGAAUUUGGAGUGUCUUAUGAAUAACUAUGUAAUUUUUAUUAGAAAGUAUAUAGGCUAUCUAGCAGUAGCAUAUGAUAUAGAUUGCAAAAAUUAUUACAAUUAAUCUACAACGAAUUUUGAGGUGGGCCAUUAGAAAGUUUAUCAAGUCUAGUUUCUAAUGCACUAAAAAUAUCUUAAUUUCAAGUUGGUUAUCUUGAGAUAUGGUCAUUUUAGUGAAAGUAGUAUAGGCUACAAGAUUAGUUAGUUGAGUUAACUCUUGUAUAACUUAGUUAGUUAGUUGAGUUAACUCUCAUAUAACUUAGUUGUUUUUAGUAUUAAUGGUCUCAAAAUAGAUUAAUUAAUUUUUAUUUUAUUGAAAUGAUCUUGAAUAGGCCGUUAAUUAUUUUGAGAGAAAAGCUAAGUGGUGUAAUCGAAAUGAAGUAAGUAAAAUCUUAUACACUUUGCUUGUUUUUGAAUCUAAGUAUAUAUGUAUGUUUCUAAAUGAAUAAAUGUUUUAUUUUUAUUUUCAAUGAAUGAAAAUAGGAUCAAACAUAUAAUUAUUUUGUGUUUCUCUAUAUAAAUAAUAUAUCAUAUUUAUGAAUGAAAUGAAAUUUGGAUUAUGUUUAAAUAAUGAUUUUAAGAUUGCUAAGUAUUUACAUCUUUGGCAAGUGGGAUCAUCGAUAUCAAAACUAGUUUUACAACCCUAGCUAACGAGUUAUAGUAAUUAGCAUAAAUAUGAUCAUACGAUCCUGCUAAUAGGUUAUAAUAGCUAGCCUAAAGCCUUGGCUAGUGAGUUAUAAUAAUUAGCAAUAAUCAUGAUGAUGAAAUUGUCGAUACAAUUAAUAUCACGAGUUAUGGCAAUGCCAUAAUUAAUGAUAGAGUAGUGAUAAAGAUGAUUUGAGAUGUUGAAUUUACAAUUUUAAAGAUUAAUUCAUGAUUUGUAUAUGAAGAUGAUUUACGAUGAUUUCUAAAGAUUGAUUAAUGGUUUAGUUUGAUUACGACAUUCAAAUGACAGCAUAUGUUGCAAUGAUUUAUAAAUUGACAUGUUUUAUAUUGAUUUAUGAUUUACAAAAUGUUUUACUUAAUGAUAAUUUUUGAAAUGUUUUGAUAUUAUGAUUUGACCAAUGUUUUAAAUGGUCUAUAUGAUAUGUAUGAAAAUUAUGCUUGAUCCAAUAAGGUGUGUGAGCUAUAUUUACUAAGUUGUGGUUUGCUCAUUCCCUUUUUACAUUUUCUUUAUAAAUGAGCAAGUAAUAAAUAUGCUUAGUCUUGUGAAAAACUAGAAGAUCAAAUUGAAAAGAUUACAUAGACAUUAGAGAUAUUGUUCACUAGUGAGAUCUUAUGAAACGAUUUUAUAUUUUUUAUUAGUUUACCUUUGGAUAUAUAGAGAUGUAUCAUUAGUUUGAUUAAAGAUGUAAAAUUUAUUUGGGCAGAUUAUUUUUAUUGAAAAAUUUUAGAAUUAUUAAGAAAGAAGAUUUCGUAUUAUUUUGUGAUUUUAUUUCGAGGUAAUAUAGCCGUAUUACAUCUUAAUCUCAGGAUGUAACACCUAUAUUAAAUCAAUGCAAAUCAAAAUCAAUCGGAUACGAAUUAUUUUAUCAUCCAUAUCAAUUUUUUUGUUUACAAAAUUCAUCUAAUAAAUAAAAUUGAAUUAAAAAAUCAAAUAAAAAAUUAGAAGUUAAAAAAAUAGAUUUAAUAAAAAAAUCAAAAAUUGAAAGGAUGAUGGGGUGCCACAUGGACACCAUCUCCUUUCUCCAAAAUCAACUUUAAUAUUAUAGAUAUAUGGAUAGAUGAAUAAUAAAAUAUAUUUUAUAUAUAUCUGAAACAGGAUAAAACAUCUUAAAGUCACUUCUAAUUUAAUCUCAAUUUAAAAAAAAAUCUCGAUCGAAUCUCAAAUUUUAAAAAAACGCAUUCAUUUGAUCAUAUGGUGAAUCAAAACCCAUAUGAAUUAUUUUGUUAUUACUUUCAUUUUUUUUUGUAAAAUAUAUCUAAUUAAAGUUAAAACUUAAAAAACAAUAGCAAAAAAAUAAAAAAUAAAGGAUGGAUAAUAAAAAAUUAAAUUAAAAAACCAAAAAAUAAAAAUAACUAAUAAAAAAUAAAUAUAAAAAUACCAUGUAAACACCUUUUAUGCUCAAAACUUUACAAAAUUAAUAUUAUGGAUUACUAGCUACCCCAUUCCUCUUGGAUGCAGGAUAGUUUUCGAAAGUGUUGUGAUUUAUUGGACUCCUUGGCCAAUGAGAAUGAAAGUUUGAAUCGGCAUUAAAGACAUGAUCAUGACAAAGCUAAACAGUUAAUGAAUUUUGUUUCCUUGUCUACUUUUUCCUCCUUUCUUCUCAUUUAUAAUAUUCCUUCCAUUUAAAAUUUUCUUCUUUAAUUCCACCGUAUAAAGGAAUACUAUAGGUAAAAUGGUAAAAAAAUCUAUGAAUUAAAAUUUAAUAAUUAUUUAAAUCUCCAUCGUUUUUUAUAAUUAAUUAAAUUUUUAAAUAUCUAUUUUUUCGAUUAAGUUUUAUUUAAAUGAUUAACUGUUUUUGUCUAAUUAAAAUUUAAUUGAAUGAAAAUAUAUAUUUAAGAGUACAAUUGAUUUGAAAUAAAAUAUUUAUGAUUUUAUUGAUUGUAAUAAAGUAUCAAAAAUUUAAAUAAUUAUUAAAUUUUUAUUUAAGAGUUUUUUUUAAAGCCUUAUGCCAAUAAUAUAUACGGAAUAAAAGGCGUGAGUAAAAACCUCUUAUCCUUAUGCAAAAAGGAUUUACCAACAUUCCACAACUAAUGUUACACCACACUAAAAUCUCUUUUAAGAAAGCACAGAGAAAUGGAAGACCAAACUCAGAAAAGACCAAAACCAAAAGGAAUGGCUAAAACUAAAAGGGAUAGUUUUAGGUAAUUACUAUUCAUUACGAUUAGAUUAUACGGGGGAGAGAAUAACAAGGAUUGACGUGAUACAGUCUCCUUCAUCAUGCCUACUUCUAUCCAAUCUAUGGACGGCGACUUUGACAAAGUCUCCUUCGACAUGCAUACUUCCAUCCAAUCCAUGGUCAAAGACGUCUGCUGUAAAUAUAUAUCAACAUGCAGAGCAAGCAAACACAACAUUCAUAGUUUUGUCUUCCAAUAUGUUGUUUUGUUUGGGGUUUUGUUUUGUCUGGCUGGAUUUGACAAUUUGCACGGCCGGUUAGAAUACAAAACGAUAUGAAUUCUUUCCACAGGUCCAUGUUUGCCUAAUAAUUUUUUCAUUCACUUUAAUUUCAAUUUGUUUUAUUAAAUUAAAUCCAAAUUAUAAGGCAAAACCAAAAUUAUUAUUUAUUUUAUUAUGAGUAUAAUAGUGUAAAUUAAGUAUUCUUUUAAAUAUUUUUAUUUUAUGCGGAUAUUAAAAUUUUUAAGUUUUACAAGUGAACUUAUAUGAUUAUUACAUGCUCAUUUAAUAAUUCAAUAAUUUUAUUUUUUUAAAAAAUAACCAAAAGAGAUAUGUGUCAACAGUUUAAACUAAAAAUAAAAAAUAAAAAAGCCAUGGAAACACCUUCUCAUGCUAAAAAUUCUACAAAAUUAAUAUUAUGGAUUACUUUACUACCCCAUUCUUCUUGGACGCAGGAUAUUUCUUGGAAGUGUUGUGAUUGAUUGGGCUCCUUGGCCGAUGAGAAUGAAAGUUAGAAUCGUCACUAAAGACCUGGUAAUGACAAAGUUAAACAGUUAAUAAAUGUUGUUUCCUUGUCUAUUUUUUCCUCCUUUCUUCUCAUUUAUAUAUAUAUAUAUAUAUUCCUUCCAAUUAAAAUUUUCUUUCUCUAAUUCUACCAUAUAAAGGAAUAAUAUAGAUAGAAUGGUAAAAAAAAAAAAAACUCAUGAAUUAAAAUACAAUAAUUAUCAAAUUUUUAUCAUGUUUUUUAAUCAAUUAAAUUUUUAAAUUUUUUUUUAUUGAGC